GUAGCGGGACAUUGAGAUCAGUAAGAAGAUCAAUUGAUUAACGGGGAUCAAAAGUACACUUUCAAAAAACUAAAGGAAACUCAUAUCAUAUCAAGUAAAGAAACCCAAUUUACAGCUUACAGACAAAAACCAAUCCCUAUACCUCUCCCUAACAUCACCAUACUCCAUCUCAUGCUCCCUACCUCUAGUCCCCCCAGUUCCUCCCCCUCUCGACGUCCCGCCGGAAACUCUGUCUCUCUGCCUCUCCCUCUCCCUCUCCCUCCACCGAAACCCAUCCUCCCUCCUCUACUCCUCACAGAAACUGAAAGUUAAAAAAACAUUGUUUACCAAACUAAAGGGAAUAACCUAACCUGACCAACAAAAUCACAGUAACCUUGACUACAACCUACAAAACCAGAAAAAUACCCAUUGCAUCAACCCAACAUUCAAAUACUGUGAUUUUGAAAUACCCAAAACCCAACCUACAAAACCAUUUAAAUACCCAGAAAUAAAACCCGUCAAGCAUACCUGAUUUGAGACCCACCCAAUAUAAACCAAAUUUCAUCCCGAAACUGAUAUUUAGAAUGCCAAACCGUAGGGAUUUCCUGCAGAUCAACAUCCUUAUUGUCAAACCUUAACCGGUAAACCUAGAUAGAUACAAUGAAGAAGAAGAACAAAGAACCAAAAUCGAACUAACAGUGACCGAUAAAAAAACAAAGAGUUGACAGUAAAUUCAGUUUCAAAAUCCAAGCAUAGAAUAAUUAACAAAGAAGAAGAAAGAAGAUCGGGAGGCUUGAGAAAGAAGAACGGGAGGCUUGAAUAAUUACAAAAUUGAACUAACAUUAACGAAUUUCAUCUUCGAUCGAUCAGUCUAUUCUUUGAUCUUCGAUCGAUCAGUCAACUCUAGUCUCUCCCUCUAUAUGCUUCUGUUUGGGGAAAAAGAAAAAAGGAGUCCAGAUCCUUCCAGAGGUGUGUGGAGCAAGAGAAAGGGCAAAACCGAUGAAGGAAGUGACGAAAGAGAGGGAAGGAGAGCUUGAGAUUUGGAAAAUGAUUCGGUGGGGUUUUGAGAGAGAUCAAGAGAGAGCAAGAAAAAGAAUUAGAAAACGGCAAGAUGCAGGACCAUAACUUCAUAUGAAAAGCAGAAUAAAAACAAAUCUCAGAUAAAAAACUAAAUGGGAGCAAAUUCAUUCACACAAAACUCAUUAACCAUCAAGACAUAGCAAAUUCCAUUUUUCAAGCCUAUAGACUCGAUGGUGAUAAGAAAGGCAGAGACAUUGAAAUGUGAAUGAAUUUGGCUAGAAAACAUAUCUUGUUUGCAUAUACAGGAUGUAAAUUGUUAUUGGCCAUUUACAGCAAUCAAAUCUGCAACUAAAUAUUUUUGCUCAGAACUGUCAUCAUUAACAUUCAAUGGGUACAUUUUUUGAUUUUCAAUCAAUUUUAGAUGCAUUGCAUGCAUUUUAUCUCUAUGUGUCUAUUUCUAAUGAACAGCUAAAUCCUAAUGUGAGUUAUCAAAAGUAAAAUAAACAGAACACAGACCUUCAAUACGGAAUUGAAUCCCAGAAACCUUCACCGAACCUGCAAAAAAAAUAGAAGUAUUCGCAAGACCCAAUCCAAAAUCCAACUGGUCAUGUGAAUAAAUAAUAACACACUCAAACUCGCAUAUCAAAAAACGACUUCAUCCAUACAGUACUCAUUUAAUCACAUUGCAUACAACAUUGCAAUCCUAAAUUCUUAACCUCAUAAAAGCUGCAAGUCCUCCCACCGUAUCUAAAGACGAAAAAAUCUGUCUGCAUUAUAACAUAGCAGCAAUCCUUCUUAAGAAUGCAAUGGAGCUUCUCCAUUUAGAAGGCAAAAGAGCAACCAUUUGUGCAGCUCAUCAUCAGAAUUUUAUUUUAUUUUUACAUGUACAAAGUCUUUGAAGCCCUAUUAUUCUUCUCGGUUUAUUUCUGUUCUAAUUCACACAAAAAAUGCAAGCAGAUGGACAAUAGGAAAUGCAUAAUUAGAUGUAAAUAUGGAUGUGAUUCUCAGUAUGCAAAUGUCAUCCAUUAACAUUCUAUUACAUGAUCAUCACCAAACCUAUCAAUU
rnacentral:lncRNA from 1 species